rfam:Picea glauca, whole genome shotgun sequence.
GGGUUGGUAGCUCAAUGGAUCAAAGAUCAUGGUUUUAGACCAUGAAUUCAAGGAUUUAAAUCCCUACUAGCCCA